rnacentral:rRNA from 1 species
GACGAACGCUGGCGGCGUGCUUAACACAUGCAAGUCGAACGGAAAGGCCCUGCUUGCAGGGUACUCGAGUGGCGAACGGGUGAGUAACACGUGGGUGAUCUGCCCUGCACUUCGGGAUAAGCCUGGGAAACUGGGUCUAAUACCGGAUAGGAGCCAUUUUUAGUGUGAUGGUUGGAAAGUUUUUUCGGUGUAGGAUGAGCUCGCGGCCUAUCAGCUUGUUAGUGGGGUAAUGGCCUACCAAGGCGGCGACGGGUAGCCGGCCUGAGAGGGUGGACGGCCACAUUGGGACUGAGAUACGGCCCAGACUCCUACGGGAGGCAGCAGUGGGGAAUAUUGCACAAUGGGCGCAAGCCUGAUGCAGCGACGCCGCGUGGGGGAUGACGGCCUUCGGGUUGUAAACUCCUUUCGCUAGGGACGAAGCUUUUUGUGACGGUACCUAGAGAAGAAGCACCGGCUAACUACGUG